UAUGUCUUAGUAUAUGAUGUACUAAAGUUUUUGAUACUUUAAGAAAUAGUUUGCCUCUAUUAGAUAUAG
rnacentral:tRNA from 1 species